rnacentral:rRNA from 1 species
GAACGCGGGCGGCGUGGAUAAGACAUGCAAGUCGAACGGGGCAUUUCAGGUAGCAAUAUUUGGGAUGUUCAGUGGCGAACGGGUGCGUAACACGUGGAUAACAUUCCGGGAAGCGGGGGAUAGCCCAGGGAAACUUGGAUUAAUACCGCAUGUGGUCGAAAGACUAAAGGUGGGGACCGCAAGGCCUGCCACUUCCCGAUUGGUCCGCGGCCUAUCAGCUAGUUGGUGAGGUAAUGGCUCACCAAGGCUACGACGGGUAGCUGGUCUUAGAGGACAACCAGCCACACUGGAACUGAGACACGGUCCAGACACCUACGGGUGGCAGCAGUCGAGAAUCUUUCACAAUGGGGGCAACCCUGAUGGAGUGACGCCGCGUGGAGGAUAAGGUCUUCGGAUUGUAAACUCCUGUCAUGCGAGAACAAGGCAUUCAGGUUAAUAACCUGGGUGUUUGAUGGUACCGCAAGAGGAAGAGACGGCUAACUCUGUGCCAGCAGCCGCGGUAAUACAGAGGUCUCAAGCGUUGUUCGGAAUCACUGGGCGUAAAGGGUGCGUAGGCUGCGCCGUAAGUCAGAUGUGAAAGCUCAGGGCUCAACCCUGAAAUUGCAUCCGAUACUGCGGUGUUAGAGAAAUGAAGGGGAGUCUAGAAUCUUCGGUGUAGCAGUGAAAUGCGUAGAUAUCGAAAGGAAUACCAAAGGCGAAGGCAGGACUCUGGGCAUUUUCUGACGCUCAUGCACGAAGGCUAGGGUAGCGAACGGGAUUAGAUACCCCGGUAGUCCUAGCAGUAAACGGUGCACGUUUGGUGUGGGCGCAAUCGACCGCGUCCGCGCCGGAGCUAACGCGUUAAACGUGCCGCC